rnacentral:rRNA from 1 species
AUUGAACGCUGGCGGCAGGCCUAACACAUGCAAGUCGAGCGAGCGGCGGACGGGUGAGUAAUGUAUGGGGACUGCCCGAUAGAGGGGGAUAACUACUGGAAACGGUGGCUAAUACCGCAUACUAUCGGAUAACCCAUAUGGGAUUUGCUAGUAGGUAAGGUAAUGGAUUACCUAGGAGACGAUCCCUAGCUGGUCUGAGAGGAUGAUCAGCCACACUGGGACGGAGACACGGCCCAGACUCCUACGGAGGCAGCAGUGGGGAUUAUUGCACAAUGGGCGCAAGCCUGAUGCAGCCAUGCCGCGUGUAUGAAGAAGGCCCUAGGGUUGUAAAGUACUUUCAGUCGGGAGGCGUUACCGACAGAAUAAUCACCGGCUAACUCCGUGCCAGCAGCCGCGGUAAUAC